CGAGCGGUAGAGUCUCUUCGGAGACUUGAGAGCGGCGUACGGGUGCGGAACACGUGUGCAACCUGCCUUUAUCAGGGGGAUAGCCUUUCGAAAGGAAGAUUAAUACCCCAUAAUAUAUUUUGAGGCAUCUUAAGAUAUUGAAAACUCCGGUGGAUAAAGAUGGGCACGCGCAAGAUUAGAUAGUUGGUGGGGUAACGGCCUACCAAGUCAAUGAUCUUUAGGGGGCCUGAGAGGGUGAUCCCCCACACUGGUACUGAGACACGGACCAGACUCCUACGGGAGGCAGCAGUGAGGAAUAUUGGACAAUGGGUGCGAGCCUGAUCCAGCCAUCCCGCGUGAAGGACGACGGCCCUAUGGGUUGUAAACUUCUUUUGUACAGGGAUAAACCUUUCCACGAGUGGAAAGCUGAAGGUACUGUACGAAUAAGCACCGGCUAACUCCGUGCCAGCAGCCGCGGUAAUACGGAGGGUGCAAGCGUUAUCCGGAUUUAUUGGGUUUAAAGGGUCCGUAGGCGGAUCAGUAAGUCAGUGGUGAAAUCUCAUAGCUCAACUAUGAAACUGCCAUUGAUACUGCUGGUCUUGAGUAAGGUAGAAGUAGCUGGAAUAAGUAGUGUAGCGGUGAAAUGCAUAGAUAUUACUUAGAACACCAAUUGCGAAGGCAGGUUACUAUGUCUUAACUGACGCUGAUGGACGAAAGCGUGGGGAGCGAACAGGAUUAGAUACCCUGGUAGUCCACGCCGUAAACGAUGCUAACUCGUUUUUGGGUUUUCGGAUUCAGAGACUAAGCGAAAGUGAUAAGUUAGCCACCUGGGGAGUACGAACGCAAGUUUGAAACUCAAAGGAAUUGACGGGGGCCCGCACAAGCGGUGGAUUAUGUGGUUUAAUUCGAUGAUACGCGAGGAACCUUACCAAGGCUUAAAUGGGAAUUGAUCGGUUUAGAAAUAGACCUUCCUUCGGGCAAUUUUCAAGGUGCUGCAUGGUUGUCGUCAGCUCGUGCCGUGAGGUGUUAGGUUAAGUCCUGCAACGAGCGCAACCCCUGUCACUAGUUGCCAUCAUUAAGUUGGGGACUCUAGUGAGACUGCCUACGCAAGUAGAGAGGAAGGUGGGGAUGACGUCAAAUCAUCACGGCCCUUACGCCUUGGGCCACACACGUAAUACAAUGGCCGGUACAGAGGGCAGCUACACAGCGAUGUGAUGCAAAUCUCGAAAGCCGGUCUCAGUUCGGAUUGGAGUCUGCAACUCGACUCUAUGAAGCUGGAAUCGCUAGUAAUCGCGCAUCAGCCAUGGCGCGGUGAAUACGUUCCCGGGCCUUGUACACACCGCCCGUCAAGCCAUGGAAGUCUGGGGUACCUGAAGUCGGUGACC
rnacentral:rRNA from 1 species